ensembl:lncRNA
AUGUCAACAACUGACUCGUUUGUUUCUAUUUUUAUUCAUCUGAGACAGUUCACUCAAAAUUUUUCCCGUCUGCACAACAAAUUAAGGUAUAUUGAAGAAAGAUGGUUACCAAACAAACAAAAACACUCCCUUUGUUCCACAGAAGAAAGAAAACAAUACAUAUACAUGUUUGGACAUACAGUACAUGAAGGCCUGUCUAUCCAUCUUUUCUCCGUCCCGUCUGUAGUCUACUCUCUUGAUCUAGCAGACACACAUACGCACACAGGUCUCAUUCAGCAGCAGUAAGGUGAGCUGACCCGUUUUAUCGAGCGUGCCAGGCCAGCGAGUCACCUUAGCUCUCUCGCUCUGUUUCUCUCUUUCUCAAUCCCUCGUUCCCUUUCUCUCACUCCCUCCUGCUCGGAGCACAAUAGAUCCCCCACAAUGCAUCGGUUCGGAAGGCCACUUUCACCUCCUCAUGUUACCAUCCAUUUAAAGAGAGAGAUACAAAUGGAUAAGUCCUGAAAAUGGAAAAACCCUGAAUAUAGAAACGAGUGAUGAAUAGAUGAACCGAAAUACCCAGAGAGAGCGAAAGAGAAGACAGUUGUCGAACACGAGAGGGGGAGAAAGACCGAGAGGAAGAAGUAGAGAAAGGAGCUUCUUCUUCGUCAGUCAUCAGCCCUGCUGGAGUUUGUCUCCUCGGCGGCUGGAUGGAGACGGACUCUAUACAGACGUGUACCGCUGGGAGCCUAGAGAAGCUUUUAGCAGCUCACUCGCACAAACCUGACUGACAUAACAGCAAAAAAUGACUGGCAGAUGCUCUAAACUAUCACCACACACACACACACACACACAUACUUUGAAAAUCUCUGCAGAGUGGAUAAGGCCCCACAAUGGCGCUCUUUAUCCCCUCUGGUAUGCUUCUGAGGGGAACGAUGUCCAUUUUCACUUCUUCAAAACAGCAUCAUCAAUCAUCGCCACAAACACACACACACACACACACACUGGAAUGUCCCAUGGGGUUUCAUCUGAAGUUAAUAGCUGUGUUCAUCGCACAGAUAUUACAGGUUAGCACACAAGACACGAAACACAUGAGAUAAUAGCCUCAUUGUGUCCUACCGCUAUUGAUGAAACCAGCUCCUUCACUAUAAUUUGAGAAAACAUGCAAAGAAACACAAAGGUUUCAUAGAUGGCAGAGAUGAGACCCCAAACGUGGACUGUAAUCAGCAUCGAUCAGCUGUGUUUUAUGAAGAGACCAUAUGUCAACCGCCCUAGUUUCUCAACAUUAGAGAAGCUCUAACUGAGUUUAGGGAGAUUUUUACUGCCUGAUUAUCGAGAUUAUUGAGUCAGUCGCCUGAGCUCAUUUCAUGUGCUCCAUCAUGUCACAUACAGAACAAAACAAACUGAGGUGGCAAAGAAACUAUGGACAAAUGUUUGAAAACAUGCAAAAACAAUUAUGCAUUUAAUUUACGGUUUAUAUUGAAAGAAGUUUAUGUUUUUUAAAUAAAUCUCAAAGCUGCACUUAUUGUGAUAAAAAU